CUGAAUUUAUAACUGUAACGUGUUACAUUACUCUGUUACCGUCAAAUGUAAUGUGAUUACAGUACUUUGUAACGCGUUACACCCAACACUGGCGAGGAUACACAUACAUCUUUUACUAUACUUGUGAGGACCAUAACCCAAUAUGCAUGAUGUGAUGACACACACACACGUUUUGCUAUAAUUGUGAGAACCAUAGCAUGAUGUGAGGAUGUUCCUCUCUCCGCUGCAGACCCAGUAAUAAAGGAGCAGCCUCUGUCAAACUCUGAAAACAACAUGGUAUCCAGUGGCAACACUACAACGCGGUGAAACACAGAAGUGAAAGAAGAAGAAGAAGUUUGUUACCUCAGCUUUGUACCCGGUUGUGACAGUAACUUUGACAAGUGUACAGUGACAAUGGAUCAAAGUAACUCUGACCAGUUACAGAAACACACAUCUAUACACACAUCAAUGCAAGCACACCUCUACACAAACACACAUGCAGACAUGUAUACACACAUCCUUCUCCUCUGUAUCAGUCUGCCAUUGGCUUGUCCUGGUUACCUGUCCAGAAGCCUGACCAAUGAGCUUGAAGCUGCUCCCCCCCCCACACCCCCAAUUGUCACCCCCAAAUAGUAUUUUCCUCCCAACUCAGUGUCGUGUAGAUCAACACGGACAAACAACUUUUAAAGACAAUUCAGUCCCUCCUCUCUGUCGUCCCUUUUUCCUAUCGUCCCCUCUUUGUUUGCAUCAGCAUGGAGAAUGAACAGGAGCGUCAGCCUGUAAAAAUACCCCCCCCCCUACCCGACCUGUUCAUCCAUCCGUCUGUCUGCCCCCCUUCAUCCUCAUCCUAAUCCCAACAGACAGACAGACAGACAGACGUCUUAGCACUACUCCAGUUCUGAAAGUGGCAUGGUGGACUCUAGAUAGAAUGAUUAUAAUAAUAUUAAUGAAAAAAAUAAAUGAUUUUUAUUUAGAUGAA